AAUCAACGCUGGCGGCGUGCCUAACACAUGCAAGUCGAACGCGGUUGCCUCGCAAGGGGCAACUGAGUGGCGAACGGGUGAGUAACACGUGGGUGACCUACCUUCGAGUGGGGGAUAACGUCCCGAAGGGACGCUAAUACCGCAUAACAUCCUGCCUUUGAACAGGCGGAGAUCAAAGCCGGGGCUCGUAAGACCUGGCGUUUGGAGGAGGGGCCCGCGUCCGAUUAGCUAGUUGGUGAGGUAACGGCCCACCAAGGCGACGAUCGGUAACCGGCCUGAGAGGGCGGACGGUCACACUGGGACUGAGACACGGCCCAGACUCCUACGGGAGGCAGCAGUGGGGAAUUGUUCGCAAUGGGCGCAAGCCUGACGACGCAACGCCGCGUGAGGACGAAGGUCUUCGAUUGUAAACUCCUGUUGCCCGGGACGAAUAGCUUUGACCUAAUACGUCAAAGUCUGACGGUACC
rnacentral:rRNA from 1 species